rnacentral:lncRNA from 1 species
AAAGAGGCUCAGCUGGGAGGGUGGACUCGGCCUUCCCAGGCCUUCUCAGGCCUUCUCCAGGCUCUCUCUGCAAGCAGCACCGCUGUGAGGGGCAGGGGUCCCUUUCUUGCCCCUGAGAAGCAGCGCCCCUGCCCCCCGGGGUGAGCAGCCCCCUCCGCUGGCACCAAACUGGGGCCAUCUCUUAGCAGGACGGGAGUUCAGCUGGGCGACUGACUCACCCUUGUUCCUGGAACUGUCUGAAGGCGGGAGAGGAUGCUGUGGAAACGAAGUGCCAAAUAAGACGAACCCUCCUUCGAGCUCAUCUGCACACGCAGCUAAGUAAAGAAACACAAGUGUAUUUGUAUUUCGCUGGCGUCAGGCUGGAAACUUGGCACCCGCGUUCCCUCUGCCCACCCCCUCGCCACCCGACUUCCGUCGGUCCCCGACGCCUCUCAAGGGCUUUUUAUUUCUCCAUCUUCUCCCUUCCUCCCCACUGCCCGCCACGAAGAAACGCCCGGAUGGUCCCCUUUCAAUCGUUCCUAGGGGUCACUGUCAAAGUCACCUUCUGAGAAUCCCUGUGCACACAGGACAGACUGCCUCUCAGAGACACGCCGUGGCUGCCCAGGGCCGCAGGGCAAGGCCCUAAUUCGAGUCUAGAACCAAGACCCUCUCACUUGUGGCCCAAACCUGCACCCCGCACGACGCCUUCACUCCAGCCAGGUGGAUCCGCGCCUUGAACCACCCGCUUCCAGGCCUCCGCUCCCUCCAUGUGCUAAUGCUCAAGCCCUUCCCCUGCUCUUCUUCACGUCCCCAAACCCUGGUCACCUUCAAGGUCAAGCUCAUGCCCCAUCGUCUCAAUGAACUUCUCCAACACGACUCUGACUCUCCGAGGCCGUGUGUGCUCAACUGAGUCCAUUAAAUUAAAACACUCACCAGAGCCAGCAAACUGCAGAAGCUGUUCAAGUUUCUCUCUCUAAACCCACAGUCCCAGCCUCAUCCUCACCCCCUGUUACUCCCUCUGGUCCCCCGGACGCCGCCUUCUGGCUCAUCUGGGCGAUGGUCCCCAGCGUCCUUCCAUCUGAGCAGCUGCUUCCUCCAAGGGCAGCGCAUCUCCCGCUCCCGAGCUGUUCUGGAGCGAGUCGGGGUGCUUCCAGGCAGGGCUGUGCCCCGUUCACCUCUGAGUCCAGAGCAGGG